UCCUACGGGAGGCAGCAGUGGGGAAUAUUGCACAAUGGGCGCAAGCCUGAUGCAGCGACGCCGCGUGGAGGAUGACGGCCUUCGGGUUGUAAACUCCCUUUGUUUGGGACGAAGCUUUUUUAAGUGACGGUACCUUAGGAAGAAGCACCGGCUAACUACGUGCCAGCAGCCGCGGUAAUA
rnacentral:rRNA from 1 species